rnacentral:ncRNA from 2 species
AUAACAGUAGAGUUGAUCUGCGGGUUGGCUGCCGCCAACUACGGAACCCGGUGUGAAUCCGGGGCGGUCCCGCCGCUGUAACCGGGGACAAAACCGGCAGAACCACUGUCUGAGCCCACUCAGGCGGGAAGGGCCGGGGGAGGUUGAUCCGGAAGCCAGAAGACGAGCAGGUCGAUCCUCAGGGCA